AGAGUUUGAUUUUGGCUCAGGAUGAACGCUGGCGGCGUGCCUAACACAUGCAAGUCGAAACGAAGCACCUUACCUGAUUCUUCGGAUGAAGGUCUGGUGACUGAGUGGCGGACGGGUGAGUAACGCGUGGGUAACCUGCCCUGUACAGGGGGAUAACAGUUGGAAACGGCUGCUAAUACCGCAUAAGCGCACGAGAGGACAUCCUCUUGUGUGAAAAACUCCGGUGGUACAGGAUGGGCCCGCGUCUGAUUAGCUGGUUGGCAGGGUAACGGCCUACCAAGGCGACGAUCAGUAGCCGGUCUGAGAGGAUGAACGGCCACAUUGGAACUGAGACACGGUCCAAACUCCUACGGGAGGCAGCAGUGGGGAAUAUUGCACAAUGGGGGAAACCCUGAUGCAGCAACGCCGCGUGGGUGAAGAAGUAUUUCGGUAUGUAAAGCUCUAUCAGCAGGGAAGAUAAUGACGGUACCUGACUAAGAAGCUCCGGCUAAAUACGUGCCAGCAGCCGCGGUAAUACGUAUGGAGCAAGCGUUAUCCGGAUUUACUGGGUGUAAAGGGUGCGUAGGUGGCAGUGCAAGUCAGAUGUGAAAGGCCGGGGCUCAACCCCGGAGCUGCAUUUGAAACUGCUCGGCUAGAGUACAGGAGAGGCAGGCGGAAUUCCUAGUGUAGCGGUGAAAUGCGUAGAUAUUAGGAGGAACACCAGUGGCGAAGGCGGCCUGCUGGACUGUUACUGACACUGAGGCACGAAAGCGUGGGGAGCAAACAGGAUUAGAUACCCUGGUAGUCCACGCCGUAAACGAUG
rnacentral:rRNA from 1 species